rnacentral:rRNA from 1 species
CCUANGGGUGGCAGCAGUGGGGAAUAUUGCGCAAUGGGCGAAAGCCUGACGCAGCGACGCCGCGUGGAGGAUGAAGGUCUUAGGAUUGUAAACUCCUGUCAGAUGGAAAGAAAGGCUCAUGUUUAAUAAACGUGAGAUAUGACGGUACCAUCAGAGGAAGCACCGGCUAACUUCGUGCCAGCAGCCGCGGUAAUACGAAGGGUGCGAGCGUUAUUCGGAAUCACUGGGCGUAAAGGGUGCGUAGACGGUAUGUUAAGUUUGUUGUUAAAGGCUCCGGCCUAACCGGAGUAUUGCGAUGAAAACUGGCAAGCUAGAGGGUGAGAGAGAGAAGUGGAAUUCCCGGAGUAGCGGUAAAAUGCGUGGAUCUCGGGAGGAACACCAAUGGCGAAGGCAGCUUCUUGGCUCAUUCCUGACGUUGAGGCACGAAAGCGUGGGGAGCAAACAGGAUUAGAUACCCUANUAGUC